rnacentral:lncRNA from 1 species
GUGAGUCAGGACAGCGUGGAGGGGCUGCACGGCAGCUCUGAGGGAAGAGGCAAAGGCAGACAAAGGCCUUCAGACCUUCCCUGUCUCCACCUAGUAGGCGACUCCGGCAAGGAGCCAUCCUGAGAACCCUGGGCUAUAGAGGGAUGAAGCAAGGUCAUUUGAAGGGGAAGCUGGCUCACUCUCCUUCCCCAGGAGCAUCCGCACCCGGCUUGCCACUCUGACAGAUUUCCAACUGAGCAUCUGAGUCCUCCUGAGGCUCCAGUCAGGUCAAAUGAAGGGACGCAGCAACAAGAAGAGGCCAAGGAGGUGACAAGAUGGCUCACCCUCACCACGACUUCCUGUCUGAGCUCAGGCCUCUGGAAAGAGAAGCUGAUAGCUGAAGAAUGGUGAAGGAAGAAGUCACCCUGAGGAAGAACAGUCAGCGGUACAGACCCUGGAGGGAGGUGCAUUCUGCGGCAAGGUCACCAGCAUGCAGGGACACAGCCCACCCAGUGCAGAACCAGGCCAGACUCUGCCUGUCUGCCUUUGCUCCCUCAUAAUUUGCUAAUGAGACAAGAAGCCUCUUUCACACUUGUUCUUCACCUGGCUGUCGGUAGUCCCCAGGCUCUGGUCCUUUCUUAAAGACACCUGAAGUGAUGAGAUAGAAGCCAAGAGGCUGAAAACUAUCAGGGGCACCUAUGGGAACAGAGCUCCAGCCCAGAAAGCUGAGCGAUUCCCACUAACGCCAGGACUAGAUGGUUAACCAACAACUCCUCGGUUUCUUUUCCCUCCCAACACUGAACCAACCAGAGAAAUCUGCCAACAGUGGAUGCGAAGCUGUCUGGUUGGCUAGUGAAGCCACUCCCGUGGGCUUUUUACCCAAAUGACAUCCAACCCCAGCAACUGGGUUUCAUUUUAGGACCUUUUUUGAGCCAGCAAGAAUGCUUUCAGGAAGCCUAAAACGAGGUGACAAAAGCAGUGGCGUUCCCAUGCCAAUCCACACAUGAAGUAGCCUCACAGGAAACCCG